rnacentral:rRNA from 1 species
AACGUAGGAGGCGAGCGUUAUCCGGAUUUACUGGGUGUAAAGCGCGUGCAGGCGGUCAGGAAAGUUGGAUGUAAAAGCUCCCGGCUCAACUGGGAGAGGUCGUUCAAAACUUCUUGACUAGAGGCAGGUAGAGGGAGGCGGAAUUCCGGGUGUAGUGGUGAAAUGCGUAGAUAUCCGGAGGAACACCAGUGGCGAAAGCGGCCUCCUGGUCCUGAACUGACGCUCAGACGCGAAAGCUAGGGUAGCAAACGGG